UAAUUCUCAACCAUGUCUCGGCAUGGCUUGGACUUGAGAGUUGCUGGCAUCGCAAGACGUCGGCUCUCCUUAAACGCAUUAGUGGACCAGCGUGUUCCUCGGACGUGCAUGGCCUCGUUCGACGUGAUAACGAUCGUCGUCGGGCUGGAGCAUCUGGAAUCAAGCCUCUGCUUCCAACUCGAGUCGGCCUGCUCAGCUACUAGUCUAGCCACAAACACGAGCAGGCUCAGCCUCAUCACACCCC
rnacentral:misc_RNA from 1 species